rnacentral:misc_RNA from 1 species
GUAUUCUCACACUCCUAAUUACUUUGGAUUGGGAGCGGUGGACUUGGGUGUUGCUGCUUGACUGUGGCUCACCUGAAAUAUGUUAGUGCACCUCUUGAUUGGACAUAGUACGGCGUGAUAAGUGUCUUCGCUGGCUCCUCGCAAAGAGGGUGGCCGAUCGGGAGCUCUGUUGCUUCAAACUGUCUUCGGACAAUCUUCUGACA